AAAGAGCCAUGAGUCACAGCAGCUGGCUCAAGGCUGGGAGGGGAAGUAAAACACUAAAUCUAAGGACCACUCUAUUCACCCUACAGUGACUGCUCUUUUUCCCUCCUGCCACAGUCCAGGGUAGGAGAUACUUCUCCAGGCUCUCACUUAUGGGGGCUUUCCUGCUGGCUACAUCACUGAAAUGGAAUCUCCUAGUGGCCCUUCUCCCUCUACAGCUCUGGUGUUACACUGAAAAACUAGAAGUUUCAAAACAGACAAGGGAAAAAGAGAAACAUCAGAAAGUCUGAUUAAAGUAGAAGCAUCAUAUUUCUAUCAACGUAUCCACUGUGCUUGGACACAAUUGCAGGCCCUUGACAUCUUUUGCCUGGAUUAUUGCAACAGCCUCCAAAAGGACUCGUCUGUCUCCAUGAUACCCCUCCAUCCUCCUCUGCAUCAUCACCAAGGGAAUCUUUGUAAAGCAAAGGCAUGAUCAUGCUUAUCACCUGGUGGAAACCCUUCAGAGACUCUCCACUCCCCAGAGCAGGCACCACAUCGUUAGAGUCUACAGAAGGCAGGAGGAAACAGAAAUGAGUGCCGGGUCCAUAGGUAGGCAAUGGGGAGCAGUGGGGAUUGCGGUGAAAUGGAGAUUGGCUGUCUAAAGGCAUCCAAACUCAGAAUUCUGUAAAACCUUCUAUGGGCCAAAUAAAGUUUGUCCUGAGAUUCCA
rnacentral:lncRNA from 1 species